rnacentral:tRNA from 1 species
GCGCCUGUAGCUCAGGGGAUAGAGCAACGGACUCCGGAUCCGUGUGUCGCAGGUUCGAAUCCUGCUAGGCGCGCCA